rnacentral:lncRNA from 1 species
UGGUGCCAAUUUCGGUUAUGAAUUUCCCAGUGCUGCACAAGACCAACUUUACUACAAUCAACACCAAGUUGCUCCAUUGCCUUCCCAAUAUCAGACUAUGACACCAGCUGCAGCUGUGGCCGCAUUAGCAAAUGCUUCAAAACAGCUGCCUGUAGAUGGUAUCAAACAGCAGAUAAUAAGCUCACAGCCAUUAUAAAGUGACAAUAGCAAAUUGAAUAAACAAAUUGCUCUUCAUAUCCUCCGAUAUUCAUGCAUAUAGGAAGAUCUUAUGUUGCCAUAUAUAUAUAUGUACAAGAUAAUGGACUUGUUUAAUGUUCUCUUGUCUUUCUUGUUAUUUUCUUUUGCCAGUGAGAAUAAAAAGUGGUAUGACAUGUAACCAUGAGAAUUUGGAUAACUAACUAGUCCUGUUCAAGCAUUUCUUUCUAUUAAAUUCUCAUUUAUGAAAGUGAACACUAGAUUGAUACAUGAUAAUUGUUCCCCUAUGCUAAAGUUGAAGAAAAUUGAGAGCAGCUGGACCAUUAUCUUAAAGAAGUUAUUAUGUAGUCAUAGAUUUUUUAUAAAUUUUGAUCGGGAAAGAAAUCAUAGUUCAGUCAUAUAGAGAGUAGACCCAAGUCCUCCGAUGUUCCAUCUGCAUUUUUUCAUCAAAGGGAAGCUAUCGAAAUGCAACAUCAGAAGAAGCUGUUCAGAUCUAGUCAACUGAUUAGCUCUAUGUUUUAGUGUUUCAGUAUUAAUCUCCAAAUACUUUAUUAAAAUCACUGAUCUCAUAACUUUUGGUGCAUUAAAGAAACUUAUAUAAAGAGCAUUAACUAUUCUCAUCCACCAGCACAUGUGAAUAAUGCAGUAACACAUGGAUUCCUGAUACGCAGUAACAUGAACAGAGUGGGUGUUUUGCAGACUGGUGAUAAACUAUUUUUCAAUGUUCUUACCUAAACUAAAUCUGCCAAAUCUAACACAAUUCAAGACUUCAAUUUUUUACUGAUAAAAAAGUUAAAUAGAAAACCAAGAAAAACUAUCAAACAAUCAAUAACAAGCAAGAAAAUUUAGAGCUUUCAUGUUGUCCUCUCUUACAGAUCUAACUAAAAUCAAAGUUUUUUUCUCUCGUAUGCACCCAUAUAUACCUAUAUAUAUAUGUUACAUACAGAGAUAGAAAACAAAAAUUGAAUCAUACAGAGACAGAAAACAAAAAUUGAAUCUGGGUCACCAGUAGAAAUCCAUUGUGAAAAGUAGAAGCUUUAGUAAUGUUCUUGAGUCUGUUUUUGUCAAUGAAUUCACAUAUAAAAGCUCCAGAUGAGAAAACUAAACUUUAGCAGCCGAAUAAAUUGCUCUUUUUUAAAUUGUACAGUAGAAAUGUGUAAAAGUCGGAUGCUUUAAAAAUUAUUAAACUCCAUAGGAGCCGCCCACGAGUUUCGUUCACAGUAUAAAUUGAAUAUAUUCAACAAGGUUUUUUAACCCAUAAAUAAACACUGCAGAUGAGCAGAUGUAAUCAUGGACGUACAGCAAAUUCAAUCUGCCAUUGAUACUAAUUAGAGCUGAAAAAAGGCACAACAGAUGAAUUUCACUUACCUACUGUUCUCUCACCUCCAGCUGUAAUGGCCGCCACCUUUAUCUUCUCUCUCCCUCCAAACCCUACGAAUUUACCAUCCGACCCCUCUUCUUCCUCCUCUCUACUCCCCUUUUCUGCUUAUAGAUAUGGGUAUAUUUAUAGGGUGAAACCGGUUUCCG